rnacentral:rRNA from 1 species
UACGGGGGAGCAAGCGUUGUUCGGAUUUACUGGGCGUAAAGGCGCGUAGGCGGCCAUCGCAAGUCGGUUGUGAAAUCUCCGGGCUUAACCCGGAAAGGUCAAUCGAUACUGCGGGGCUAGAGUGCAGAAGGGGCAACUGGAAUUCUCGGUGUAGCGGUGAAAUGCGUAGAUAUCGAGAGGAACACCUGCGGCGAAGGCGGGUUGCUGGGCUGACACUGACGCUGAGGCGCGAAAGCCAGGGGAGCAAACGGG